CAUCUCUUUUGAAGAUCGGACUGG
rnacentral:piRNA from 1 species